CGACCAGUUCGUCAUCCAUGGAUUGUGAUUUUCGGACUCCAUGUUUCAUUAAGUGAAUAUCACAGUCCUGCUUAGGUGACGAAUUUCGU
rnacentral:pre_miRNA from 1 species